rnacentral:rRNA from 1 species
UACGUAGGUGGCAAGCGAUACUCGGAAUCACUAGGCGUAAAGCGCAGGUAGGCGGUUUGGUAAGUCUUUUGUGAAAGCUCCCGGCUCAACUGGGAGAGGUCAAGGGAAACUACCGGACUAGAGUGUGGUAGGGGAUACUGGAAUUCCUGGUGUAGCGGUGAAAUGCGUAGAUAUCAGGAGGAACACCGGUGGCGAAGGCGGGUCUCUGGGCAACUACUGACGCUGAGGAGCGAAAGCGUGGGGAGCGAACAGG